CGUCGAGAAGAACACUUGUUUCACGCAAAAUAGCUAUAGAGUAUAGGUAGUGCAAAUAUUGCGACAUUUUUGGAUAUUUUUAUUUUAGUAUUUUUUUUGUUCUGUAUUUGGAUUUUCUCGCCUCCGAUACGAUCGUUUUGUGGUUACAGAGCUCUUUGUCUUAUUGUACUACAUGUACUGCAACGAGUAGCACGUAAUGAAGAAUGGACGACCUUCAAAAUGUACGAAAUAAUGUAUUUGAUGAAACAGUUGAGAGAAAAAAAUGAAAGAAUACCGUCAUCUCAUAACCUUACUUUCAAUACUUGUGCUGAAACUACCACGGUUCAAUUUCGACAUUGUGGAUCAUGAUCUUAAAACUAUUGAGGCUAUCAAGCAAUAUAGAGUUUUCGUACAAAAAUGGAAGGGAAAAAAUUAUGAAGAAAUGGACGCCAAACUUGCAGUAAUGCAAGGUCUACGUGAAUAUCGAAGAACUAAUAAUACGGAUGUUCUAGAUGAUAUCCAGAAGAAUCUCGAAAUUUUGGAUGAUAUUCGUUUCAAGCACAUGGGAAACCUCACACAAGAACUGAAAUACAAAUUUAGAGAAAUGGAUACCAGGCUCAAAAAUCUUCAUUAUCAAAUCGAACGCCAAGAUGACGACGUUCUUCAAAAAUACGCAUCCAUCGUUGAAGAUUAUAUAGAGAAUCGCAAUUUUACCUCCUUCAGUACUCGUUUAACACGCUUUGAAGAAGAAUUGCAGGGGAACCCGAGUGUUAAACAUUUGCUGAAACUUCAAGUUCUGAGCCAAGACGACUCCGGUGCGAAUAGUGAUCGUUCCAACCGUUCGAAAAAUUUCAACCUCACGCAAGAAAAUAUGGAAGCUAAGCUUGAAAAUGUAAACCGUCAGAUUGAAAAUAUAUAUCGGAUAAUGAUGGACAGAAAUGACGACAUUUUUAGUUCAGAUAAAUCCGAAGUCAGAGAAUGGAUCAUGGGACUUGAUCGACACUGAUUUUUUCAUCCGAAAUGGAAAAUUUUUAUCAAUUUAUUAACUGAUCAUCUUUGAAGGUGGCACUAUUUACAGUCCAUAAAUACCACUACCAGUUUUACACUAACCUACGAGUAUGAACAAAUUCUGCUACGUCAGUUUUUCAAGAUUCAAGCUAUUUGGGAUGUUUCAAGUCAUUUGCCUGGUUUUGGGAUUGCAAAGAUCAUAACAUGUAACAGCAGACCGAAUGAUUUUGAUCGCAUCAGUCAAAACGAAUCUUUCAUUUAUUUUUAGCACUUUUGCAAAAUAACCACUAUACUAAGGAAAAUAGAUUUUAUCAAUUGAGGCUAAAAUUGACCAUGAUUGAUCACAAUAUAGAAUCGAAAAUCGCAAAGAUAUCAAUUUUUGGAGUUCGAUUAAUCGAUUUUUAAUGCUAAUAAAUUUUUGAAAAUGAAAAAAAAACUUGAUUUCUCAUUUCAAACAGGAUCGACCACAUGAAAUCGAAAAACAAUCGAUUUUCAAUAAUGAUCCAGAUCAAUUUUUGAUCGACAAGUUUGUUUUCGAGGCUAAAACGAAUUUUCUAUCUCGACUGUGACUGAUCAAAAUAUAUGUAGAAUCGGGUAUCGCAAAUAAAUCGAUUUUCGGGUUCAAUUAAUCGGUUCUCAAUCCUGAUCAUGGUCAAUUUUCGUGAAUUGAUUUCUCAUUUGUAAUUUCAAACAUGACCGAUCACAUGAAAUCGAAAAUCGAAAUCGAAAAUUAAUCGAUUUUCAAACAUGAUCACUUUUUGAUCGAUAAGUUUGUUUUUGAGGGUAAAAUUGAUUUUCGGUGUCGUCCAUGAUCUAUCACAAUACAGAAUCGAUAAUCGCAAAGAAAUCGAUUUUUGGACUUCGAUUAUUCGAUUUUUAAUGCUGGUAAAUUUUCGAGGAUAAGACUUGAUUUUUCAUUUCAAUAAACAGAAUCGACCACAUGAAAUCGAAAAUAAAUCGAUUUUCAAUAAUGAUCGUCAUUUCAAACAUGAUUGAUCACGUGAAAUCAAAAAUCAUAAUGGAAAUCGUAAAUUGAUCGAUUUUCAAACAUGAUCGAUUUUUGAUCGAAAAGUCAGUUUUUGAGGCUCGAAUUGAUUUCCUAUUUCGACCAUGAUUGAUCACAACAUAGAAUUGGAAAUCGCAAAUAAAUUGAUUUUUGGGAGUUCGAUUAAUCGAUUUUUUUUAUCGAUCACAUAAGAUCGAAAAUCGAAAUAAAAAAUAAUCGAUUUUUAAUAAAAAGAUAUAUUUUUGAGGCUGAAAUUGAUUUCCUAUUUCGACCACACAAUUGAUCACAAAUCGAAAAUCGCAAAUAAAUCGAUUUUUGGGAUUCGAUUCAUCGAUUUUCAAUCCUGAUCUUUCGAAGGUAAGCUUGAUUUCUAAUUUAAAAGAUGACCAUUGACCAAUCACAAGAAAUCGAUUUUCGGGAGUUUGAUUAAUCGAUUUUCAAUCCUGAUCUUUCGAAGGUAAACUUGAUUACUCAUUUCAAAGAUGAUCAAUCACAAGAAAUCGAAAAUAAAUCGAUUUUCAAUCUUGGUCAAUUUUUGAUCGAAAAGUCUUUUUUUGAAGCUGAAAUUGAUUUCCUAUUUCGACCAUAUUUAAUUGAUCGCAAUGUAGAAUCGAAAGUAGAAAAUAAAUUGAUUUUGGGGAUUUCGAUUAAUCGAUUUUCAAUCCUGAUGUUUCGAAGGUAAACUUGAUUUCUAAUUUCAAAGAUGAUCAAUCACAAGAGAUUGAAAAUCGAAAAUGGAAAUCGAAAAUGAAUCGAUUUGCAAUCAUUGUCAAUUUUUGAUCGAAAAGUCUACUUUUGAAGCUGAAAUUGAUUUCCUAUUUCGACCAUACAUAAUUGAUCGCAAUGUAGAAUCGAAAAUCGCAAAUAAAUCGAUUUUUUGGGAUUUCGAUUAAUCGAUUUUCAAUCCUGAUCUUUCGAAGGUAAACUUGAUUUCUAAUUUCAAAGAUGAUCAAUCACAAGAAAUCGAAAAUCGAAAUCGAAAAUCAAUCUAUUUUUAGGAGUUCGAUUAAUCGAUUUUCAAUCCUGAUCUUUCGAAGUCAAUCACAAGAAAUCGAAAAUCAAUCGAUUUUCAAUCAUGGUCAAUUUUUGAUCGAAAAGUCUAUUUUUGAAACCGAAAUUGAUUUCCUAUUUCGACCAUAAUUGAUCGCAAUAUAGAAUCGAAAAUCGCAAAUAAAUCGAUUUUUGGGAUCUCGAUUAAUCGAUUUUCAAUCCUGAUCUUUCGAAGGUAAACUUGAUUACUCAUUUCAAAGAUGAUCAAUCACAAGAAAUCGAAAAUCAAAAUCGAAAAUAAAUCGAUUUUCAAUCAUGGUCAAUUUUUGUUCGAAAAGUCUAUUUUAUGAAGCAGAAAUUGAUUUUUUCCUAUUUCGACAAUAAUUGAUCGCAAUAUAGAAUCGAAAAUCGCGAAUAAAUCGAUUUUUGGGGUUCGAUUAAUCGGUUCUUAAUUCUGAUUAAUUUCUGAGAAUUGAUUUCUUAAGUAUUUCGAUCAUGAUUGAUCACAACAUAGAAUCGAAAAUCGCAAAUAAAUUGAUUUUUGGGAGUUCGAUUAUUCGAUUUUUUGAUCGAUCACACAAAAUUGAAAUUCGAAAUCGAAAAUUAAUCGAUUUUCAAACAUGAUUCAUUUUUGAUUAAAAAGUCUAUUUUUGACUGAUUUUCUAGUUCCACCACAAUUGACCAGGAAAUAGAAUCGAAAAUCGCUAAUAAAUCGAUGUAUUGGGGUUCGAUUAUUAAGUUCUUAAUUCUGAUCAAUUUCUGAGGAUUGAUUUCUCAUUUUGUCGUUUCAAACAUGAUUGAUCACGUGAAAUCGAAAACCAAAAGCGAAAAUAGAAAUCGAAAAUUAUCGAUUUUCAAACAUGAUUACUAAUUUGUCAUUUCAAACAUGUUCGAUCACGUAAAAUUGAAAAUCAAAAUCGAAAAUUGAAAUCGAAAACUGAUCGAUUUUCAAACGUGAUCAACUUUUGAUCGAAAAGUCAGCUUUUGAGGCUCAAAUUCAUCGGAAAUCGCAAGGAAAUUGAUUUUUUGGGAGUUCGAUUAAUCGAUUUUUUGAUCGAUCACACAAAAUCAAAAAUCGAAAUCGAAAAUUAAUCGAUUUUCAAACAUGGUCAAUUUUUUAGGCUAAAAUUGAUCUCCAAUAUUUGAACCUCACUAUGAGGCAACCUGGGAAGUUGAUUUUUGAAAUUUUCAUUAAUUCCUUAUCUAAACUAACAGAACACUUUGCCAUAAUAAUUUCGUAUACUAUCUGUAUAGACCUUGUAUACUUUGAUGGAAAGUCGAUUUUAUUAAUCUUAGUAGGUACGUUAACAGAAUAUUCGAUUUUUGAUCGUAGGGCAAGCUUAAAAAAAGCAUUUACCACUGUAAGACUCCGCAAUGCAGAUAAACAGGUAUCCAAUUAAUUAUAAUAUUGUGCUUAUUUAAUACACUCUCAGAAACAGUCGAGGAAAAAAAAAUGAAAGAAUAUCGUCAUCUCAUAACCAUCCUAUUAAUACUUGUACUAAUAUUACCACGGUUUAAUUUCGACGUUGUGGAUCAUGAUCAUACUAGUGAGGUUAUGGAUAUUGUAAUAGAUAUAAUAGUAAAAAAUGAAAAAAUGGAGGGAAAAUACGAAGACAUGGAUGUAAAACUUGCAAUAAUGGAAGGUCUGAAUGAAUAUCGAAGAACUAAUAAUACGGAUGUUCUAGGGUACAUCCCGAAGAAGCUCAAAGCUUUGGAUGAUAUUCGUUUCAAGCACUUGGGAAACCUGACACAAGAAAUGAAAUACAAAUUUAAGGAAAUGGAUACCAUGCUCAGAAAUCUUCAUCUGGAUCUCGAAUCCUAUGUACCUAAAUACGACGUUCUUCAAAAAUACGCAUCCAUCGUUGGAGAUUAUAUAAAAAAUCGUAAUUUCACCUCCUUCAGUGCUCGUUUAACAUUCUUUGAAGAAGAAUUAUACGCGAAUCCAAGUGUUACACACUUACUGAGGCUUCAAGUUUUCAACCUCACACAAGAAAAUAAUAUAGAAACUAAGCUUGAAAAUGUAAACCGUCAGAUUGAAAAUAUAUAUCGAAUAAUGAUCGAUAAAAAUGACGACAUUUGGGGUUCAUAUAAAUCCGAAGUCAGAGAAUUGAUCAUGGAACGUCAUCGACGAAAUUAUGGUAUCUUUAAAGGUGGCACUAUUUACAGUCCAUAAAUACCACUACCAGGUUUACACUAUAAACAAAUUCUACAACGUCAAUUUUUCAAGAUUCAAGAUAUUUGGGAUGUUUCAAGUCAUUCGCCUGGUUCUGGUAUUGAAAAGAUCAUAACAUGUACCUAACAGCAGACCGAAUGAUCCAUCAGUCAAAACCAAUCUUUCAGGGGUUAAAUGAGAAAGAUUUCUUUAUAUAGCACUUCUGAAAAAUACUAAGGAUCGUUGCUGCUCCCUGAAUUGUGGUAUUUAGAAGAAAAAAAUUUGUCUGGCUUAGAAAUUGAGAUUUUUUUCCUCAAAAUUAUCCUUGUAUGUAAAUUAUACCAAAACAAUAGUGUAAAAGCAUGAAGAUAAAAAAAAAGGUCAAGUUGAUAAAAAUAUUUGCAAUAUUUGAGUUCAACUUUCAGACAAUCAGAAGAUUUUUAUUUUUUUUCACCUCACCGAAAUUUAAAUACAUACCCAGGUUUAAUGUAAUUUUAUGGGACUUUUGCGAAAUGCUACAUCUCAAAUUCGAUCGCCGAAUCGAUUAAUGAUGGUUUCAAGACGUUCUAGGGCUUCUGAGUCCCGAAAAUCACACAAAAAAAUCCAAAAAUCGAAAAAUCUACAGGAAGGAUAUUUUACCACGACUCGAAAUUGCUGCCAAUUUAUUCAAAAAAUCGAAGCAGAGGGUCAAGUGAAACAUACAGUCAAAACGUUUGCAAAACAUUUAGAGUUGUUGACGAUUUCUGAAUAUAUUCCAGGAAAAAAAAUGAAGCACCGUUUACCUCUCAAAAAAAUUACAAAUAAGUUACUUACAAUAAUGCUCAUUAUAUUAUUUCAAGCUUGUAAGUGUUGAUUCAAUUGAGAAAACUUACCUGAAACCAAAAAAAGAAAAAAAACGAUUAGAAACAUCAUAAAAGGUAGGUAUACUUUGAAUACUUAAACACAAAACUGAAAUCUGAAAACAACUAACAAGUAAGAUAAAAUGGCAAAUAAACAUGU